rnacentral:SRP_RNA from 1 species
GUUGGGCACGGUGGCGCGUGCCUGUAGUCCCAGCUACUCGGGAGGCUGAGGCUGGAGGAUUGCUUGAGCCCAGGAGUUCUGGGCUGCAGUGCACUAUGCCGAUCGGGUGUCCGCACUAAGUUCAGCAUCAAUACGGUGACCUCCCAGGAGCGGGGGACCACCAGCUUGCCUAAGGAGGGGUGAACCGGCCCAGGUCAGAAACGGAGCAGGUCAAAACUCCCGUGCUGGUCAGUAGUGGGGUCGUGCCUGUGAAUAGCCGCUGCACUCCAGCCUGGGCAACAUAGCAAGACCCCGUCUCU